CACGUAUGCAACCUACCCUAUACAGGGGGAUAGCCCGGGGAAACUCGGAUUAAUACCCCAUAGUAUUAUUGAUUCGCCUGGAUUAAUAAUUAAAGAUUUAUCGGUAUAGGAUGGGCAUGCGCAUGAUUAGCUAGUUGGUGAGGUAAAGGCUCACCAAGGCGACGAUCAUUAGGGGGCCUGAGAGGGUGACCCCCCACACUGGUACUGAGACACGGACCAGAUUCCUACGGGAGGCAGCAGUGAGGAAUAUUGGACAAUGGUCGCAAGACUGAUCCAGCCAUGCCGCGUGCAGGAAGACGGCCCUAUGGGUUGUAAACUGCUUUUGUACAGGAAGAAUAAGGCCCACGUGUGGGCUGAUGACGGUACUGUACGAAUAAGCACCGGCUAACUCCGUGCCAGCAGCCGCGGUAAUACGGAGGGUGCAAGCGUUAUCCGGAAUCAUUGGG
rnacentral:rRNA from 1 species